rnacentral:rRNA from 1 species
GUAGGUGGCAAGCGUUGUCCGGGAAUUAUUGGGGCGUAAAGCGCGCGCAGGUGGUUCUUUAAGUCUGAUGUGAAAGCCCCCCGGGCUCAACCGGGGGAGGGGUCAUUGGAAACUGGGGAACUUGAGUGCAGGAGAGGAAAGUGGAAUUCCACGUGUAGCGGUGAAAUGCGUAGAUAUGUGGAGGAACACCAGUGGCGAAGGCGACUUUCUGGCCUGUAACUGACACUGAGGCGCGAAAGCGUGGGGGAGCAAACAGGAUUAGAUACCCUGGUAGUCCACGCCGUAAACGAUGAGUGCUAAGUGUUGGGGGGGUUUCCGCCCCUCAGUGCUGCAGCUAACGCAUUAAGCACUCCGCCUGGGGAGUACGGUCGCAAAGACUG